GUUUUGAUUAGGGCUCAGAACGAACGCUGGCGGCAGGCCUUAUACAUGCAAGUCGAGCGCAUCCUUCGGGAUGAGCGGCGGACGGGUGAGUAACGCGUGGGAAUGUGCCCUUCUCUACGGAAUAGCCAUUGGAAACGGUGAGUAAUACCGUAUACGCCCUUAGGGGGAAAGAUUUAUCGGAGAAGGAUCAGCCCGCGUUAGAUUAGGUAGUUGGUGGGGUAACGGCCUACCAAGCCUACGAUCUAUAGCUGGUUUUAGAGGAUGAUCAGCCACACUGGGACUGAGACACGGCCCAGACUCCUACGGGAGGCAGCAGUAGGGAAUCUUGGACAAUGGGGGAAACCCUGAUCCAGCCAUGCCGCGUGAGUGAAGAAGGCCUUAGGGUCGUAAAGCUCUUUCGCCUGUGAUGAUAAUGACAGUAGCAGGUAAAGAAACCCCGGCUAACUCCGUGC
rnacentral:rRNA from 1 species